GGGCAAGCUCCUAGAAGAAGUACCAUGUUUGGAUGUCGUAUGCAGCUAAGUACUGCAAUCUGCAUGAGAGUUGCGAACAUGGAGGUUAGAAAUCUCAAUGUGAAAAGAACUAAGUCGUACUAGUGAAAUUGCAUUCACAUGCUAUUUUCAAGGGAUGAUGACCUUACCAAGCCUUGUGAUGAGCAUGAACAUGAAGUGCUUCCACUUUCCUGUGAAAUAGUUGAAUGCUCAUUUAGAGAGCCAAGGUCCAUGAACCUGGGUCCAACUCGUAUUGAUCCAAAGCUGUGUUCUGAGCUAGUUGAUAGCCGUGGUGUUCUUCCUGAAUCAGUAAAAUCAAACCCAACAGAAGAUGUACGGUCAGUGCUUGGUCUUUCAGAGCUUAUAAAUGAUAUGUCAGUAUCUGAUUCUGAGAAAUCCAUCAACGUUUUGACCGGUAUGCCUCUUGGUCCUCUUAGGAUUGGCGACCUGAUACAAGGAAUAGUACUCGUGUAUAGUUGAAGUCGGAGAGGGGAAAAACUGUACCUGAUAAAUCCAUGCCGAGAUGAGCAACCAAGAACCAGGUUUUCAAUUGCAGCAUUGGAAACGUAUUCUGUUAAUGCCCUUACUAUAUCAGGGUCUUCAAGUACAACAUCAAAGCAUUGUACCUGAUAGAGAAAUUUGCAUGCUUACCAUUAGAAAGAAUCAAAAGGAAAAGAGGUUGAUUUCAUGAACAACAGCGAAAGCUUCUUUGUGCCUAAAAUCAUUUCAGAGGAAGAAGGGAAGUUGAGCACGUACGUCUUUACAAGUACAAAAGCAACGGAAGGUAAGGAAUACGUCCUUUGUUAACCUCUCAAGAUGCUGCCUGUGUGGUGAUUCAGCUGAGCUGACGUCAGAAACUUGAGAGUAGCCUGUAUGGAAGUAUCAAAAUAAAGAGAAAGAUAUGGAUUUGAUGGAAAAGGAAGAUUAUUCUGUUGAUUUUUUGCCUGCUUUGAUCGAAAAUUAUCAUCAGGAGAUAAAGCAUAAGAAAAGCAAUGGAGGAAGAUAUCACAACGGAGAGAUUGAGAAGAGAGAGUUACUUGAAUUAGAUGAAGACAAUGAUGUUUUGUGGAGGACAUGAAUUAGGAUAACAGUUUGGCCUUUGACGAGUAGAUUCUCCACCGCCCAUUUUAAAGCAGACUGGCUACUUUUCUCUUUGUCUAUUGCAACUGCUACCAAUCCAUUUCUUCCUCCCUUCCUUCCACCAUUUGCCUUGGGAUGCGACAUUUUUCCCUCAACGUUUUGCUUUCCUAUCCUUUUUCCAUUCGAAAUCCUCCAAACGAGGAAAAUGCAGGCACGAAACUUUGAAGCUUCUCCAGAAUUCUGUCUAUGAUGGCACAGAACUCAAUUCCCAGAAUUCAAAAAGGUCUUGUGAUUAUAUGAUUCGCGGACAUUUUUCAAUCUAUAAGGAAUGGAAAGAGGGAUUAGUGAUGCUUGAGAGCCUCAAUUUGAGUCCCGGAAGAAAAACCUUCUACAAUGAGUAGAGACCAUACCACUUUUU